GGGCCUGUGGUCUAGGGGCAUGACGUCGCCUUGACGUGGCGAAGACCGGCGGUUCGAUUCCGCCCGGGCCCA
rnacentral:tRNA from 1 species